UACGUAGGGUGCAAGCGUUAAUCGGAAUUACUGGGCGUAAAGCGUGCGCAGGCGGCUAUGCAAGACAGAUGUGAAAUCCCCGGGCUCAACCUGGGAACUGCAUUUGAAACUGUUCGGCUCGAGUCCGGGAGAGGGUAGUGGAAUUCCCAGUGUAGUGGUGAAAUGCGUAGAGAUCCGGCGGAACACCGGUGGUGAAGGCGGCUUCCUUGGCCGAACCCGACGCUGAGGCGCGAGAGCGCGGGGAGCGAACCGG
rnacentral:rRNA from 1 species